rnacentral:rRNA from 1 species
AGCGAACGCUGGCGGCAGGCUUAACACAUGCAAGUCGAGCGGGCAUCUUCGGAUGUCAGCGGCAGACGGGUGUGUAACACGUGGGAACGUACCCUUCGGUUCGGAACAACUCUGGGACACUUGAGCUAAUACCGGAUACGCCCUUAUGGGGAAAGGUUUACUGCCGAAGGAUCGGCCCGCGUCUGAUUAGCUAGUUGGUGGGGUAACGGCCUACCAAGGCGACGAUCAGUAGCUGGUCUGAGAGGAUGAUCAGCCACACUGGGACUGAGACACGGCCCAGACUCCUACGGGAGGCAGCAGUGGGGAAUAUUGGACAAUGGGCGAAAGCCUGAUCCAGCCAUGCCGCGUGAGUGAUGAAGGCCUUAGGGUUGUAAAGCUCUUUUGUCCGGGACGAUAAUGACGGUACCGGAAGAAUAAGCCCCGGCUAACUUCGUG